rnacentral:rRNA from 1 species
AAACAUCGCCUCUUGAACUCCUAUAAGAGGUCCAGCCUGCCCAGUGACUUUGUUCAACGGCCGCGGUAUCCUAACCGUGCGAAGGUAGCGUAAUCACUUGUCUUUUAAAUGGGGACUUGUAUGAAUGGCAUCACGAGGGUUAUACUGUCUCCUUUUUCUAAUCAGUGAAACUAAUCUCCCCGUGAAGAAGCGGGGAUAAUUUUAUAAGACGAGAAGACCCUAUGGAGCUUUAAACUUAAUAACAAAUACUAAUUCCAUUUUAACUUCCAGAACACUUACUUCAACUUUAGUAUUAUGAUUAUUAGUUUUAGGUUGGGGUGACCGCGGAGUAAAAAUUAACCUCCACAUUGAACAGGACCAACCCUUGAGCCAAGAGCUACAACCCUAAGCACCAACAAAUUGACAUUAAUUGACCCAAUAUUUUGAUCAACGAACCAAGUUACCCUAGGGAUAACAGCGCAAUCCACUUCAAGAGCUCCUAUCGACAAGUGGGUUUACGACCUCGAUGUUGGAUCAGGGUACCCCAGUGGUGCAGCCCCUACUAAAGGUUCGUUUGUUCAACGAUUAAAACCCU